rnacentral:rRNA from 1 species
GAUGAACGCUGGCGGUAUGCUUUACACAUGCAAGUCAUACGGAAGUUAGUUUCGGCUAACUUCAGUGGCGGACGGGUGAGUAACCCGUGAGAAUUCGCCUUUAGGAGGGGGAUAACAGGGGGAAACACCUGCUAAAACCCCAUAUGCAUUCGGGUCAAAAGAUUAAUCGGCCUAAAGAGAAGCUCGCGGCUGAUUAGCUAGUUGGUGGGGUAAAGGCCUACCAAGGCGACGAUCAGUAGCUGGUCUGAGAGGAUGAUCAGCCACACUGGAACUGAGACACGGUCCAGACUCCUACGGGAGGCAGCAGUGAGGAAUUUUCUGCAAUGGGCGAAAGCCUGACAGGGCAAUACCGCGUGAGGGAAGAAGGCUUACUGAGUUGUAAACCUCUGUUACCUAAGGAGGAAGAUCUGACGUUACUUAGGAGACGAAGCAUCGGCUAACUCCGUGCCAGCAGCCGCCGCAG